rnacentral:lncRNA from 1 species
CUCAAUUAUUUUGUAACUGUUAUGAAGACCCCACCGUUUAAACUCUUCCUUUUUAGUCACUUUUACUUUCUUCCUUCGCUUUCCUUGUCUUGGUUGAGGUUCAAGUGGUUCAAAUUCUCCUCAAGAGGUGGCAAAUCGUCAUCAGAAUCACCCUCAGAUCCUUCCUCACUUUCCUUGUCUUGGUUGAGGUUCAAGUGGUUCAAAUUCUCCUCAAGAGGCGGCAAAUCGUCGUCCGAAUCACCCUCAGAUCCUUCCUCGCUUUCCUCAUCUUGGUUGUGGUUCAAGUGGUUCAAAUUCUCCACCAGAGGCGGCAAAUCAUCAUCAGAAUCACCCUCAGAUCCUUCCUCUGUGCUUCGAC